GGGGUCGUAGCUCAAUUUGGUAGAGCGUCCCGACUCGAGUUGGGGAGGUUAGUGGUUCGAUUCCACUCGGCUCCA
rnacentral:tRNA from 1 species